rnacentral:rRNA from 1 species
UACGUAGGGUGCAAGCGUUACUCGGAAUUACUGGGCGUAAAGCGUGCGCAGGCGGUUAUGUAAGACAGGUGUGAAAGCCCCGGGCUCAACCUGGGAAUGGCGAUGGAUACUGGCUCGCUAGAGUGCGGUAGAGGAGAGUGGAAUUCCCGGUGUAGCAGUGAAAUGCGUAGAGAUCGGGAGGAACAUCAGUUGCGAAGGCGGCUCUCUGGACCAGCACUGACACUGAGGCACGAAAGCGUGGGGAGCAAACAGG